ACCGUCUACCCAGAACAGAAGCAUAAGGCGCCAUUGUAUACCUGGACCCUCCUCCUCUCCAGAGAGGCUAUUGUGCUCAUCAGUAAGGGGGAAACGGAGACUCGGUCCAGGUGUCCAGGCUCUCGAUGGGGUUCACAGCGUCCUGAGUGGUCACCUCCUUCCAGUCUCGGCACUGUGGCAUGCCAUCCCGCUGCUGCCGCCUCCGGCUGCCAGACACUGUUCUGUCCUAUGUCUGCCAUGUGUCCUGCCUGCAGAGUCCACGCUGGAUGUCCUCACCCAACUUCCAGGAGGACCAUAAGUCAUCACUCUGCCCCAUGAACACCAUCCCAGUAGCGUUUCCCUCUCUUUCC